AUUCAUGGGCAGCUCUGACUUCCUGUCUCCUGUGCGCUGUGGCAAAGGCCGAUCAUCACAUGCGCUACAGAGAGUUUUGUUGAGCCCACAGUGAAGACACUUCAUAUAUGCAAACACGUCUCUGUGGGGAAGAGCAAGGCUCCUGCAGAAAGGAGAUCAGAUGGAUCAGGGAUCCCACAGCCCGAGUCUUUGGCCUGAUAUGGGCACCCUUGGGAGAGACCCCUCCACACAAAUGUUUCCUGCAAAGAAAACACUCCUGCCUCACUUUCUUCAACUCAGCUAUGACCUCCUUUCCUGAAAUGGAAAACUGCAUCCUCUGCCAUCAGUAGAAGCUGGCUGUAAGAGCACACCCCAUGUAAACAGAGCGACACAGUCGGGCUCUGCUUUCUCAGUCUGAAACCUGCUCUUUCUCCCUUGGACAUGGAGCCUCCAAGUUCUAAAGACAUACUAGGAGCAGACUACAGCUUUUCUUGCAUCUGGAAGAAUAGAGGGAAAAAGAAAACACCUCAAAAGUAAACAACUUCCUCAGUCUGUGAUUGGUGGUUGUUGAAUCCAGUGAAUAGGCAUCAUUGAAGGUCAUACUCGGCCCACAGUUCAGGACCCUCUGGUACAGACUCCAAGAACUACCACUUACUGUAUGAGUUCCAAGUAACAAAUUCUGAGUAUUACCUUAUUUAACUCACCCCGGGGUGAGUUCUCUAAGGAAGAACCCAUUAUUGCCCAGUCUUCCAGAUGAGGAAACAGGCCUAGCCGGAGAAAGAGGCUUGACCACAACCACACAGUCAUAGGUGGCUGAGUCAGGAUCCAGUGAGGAUAAACAGUCAUCCUAAGUUUUCAAAGACAGAGAAUUUAAUUACAGGGACUUCCUAGAUGGCAGAAGAACCAAGAAGUUGGACAAGGGACAUUGAGGCAACCCUGGCAUCCACAGCAUCAGGAAGGGGCUACUACCUCUCAGAGGCAUAAGGAAGGAGACAGUUACCAGAGCCCAGGAAUCAGACUCACUGGAGGGAAGCUGUCACCAGGGUGGGUCUUUGUGGCAGGAGCUGGCUUGUAGAAGGAAGGACACUCCAGGCAAGACAGCCCAACAAAGAGAGAUAAGAAGCCUAGCCAGACUCCUUCACACACCCAUGGCCCAUCAGGGUUCCCAUUGGCCCAGCCAAGUCAGAAGCCAGAGACAUAUGCACCUGGGCUCAUAGCCUGCAGAGGCCAGACACCCACGAUACAGGGCAGAGCAGGGAUAGAUGGGAAGAGGGGAGGCUCUGAGAGCACUAGGCAUAGGCUCACCCAGGUAGUCUCAUUCUGGGGUCUUCUCACUCACACACACCAUGAUGCAGCUGACUGCUGGAUUUCAUAAGAUAAGGGUUCAUGUGUGUUCGUCCCCAUUCCAAGAAGAGGUGGGCUCUUCCUACUUUCUAGCUACCUGGAGCUACCUAGAGCUUUCUUUUAAUGUCUAGGAAGUCCCUGAGAGUACGUUUUCCAUUUUAAAACUGUUUAAAGUUGUCUGAGGACAAUUUUUUCCUCCAUUCUUUUAAGCCCAUUGAAAAGGUAGUGCACAGUAUCCCUGAGUGAGGGAGGUGAGGCGGGAGUGCAGUUGUUUUUCUUGGAUGGAGAACAGAUCUGAGGUCCAUGGAGCAUGUGGGUAGGGGUUACCUGUGUCUCACUCCCUGUAUGCAUUCCCAGGAGGAUGCCAGGUCUCCUCAGGGCUCUUGAAUAUAUUUAAAAGGCUGAGGUCCCAACAUGAGACACUAUCUCGUCCAAGGCUCCCAGCUCCACAGGAGCAUAGGGCAGAAAGCUGCCAGACCACAUACAUAAUGCAGGAAUGUCCGAGACCCUUGUCCUGAGGGAGCAACAGGAAGCCUUGGAAGAUGGGGAAGGGCCAGUAGCCAUGAGGCUCAGUCCUCUCCUGCCUGAUGGGCGGGACCUGUGGAGUCAGUGAGACUCAUGUGAAGACAAUGAAGACAGGGUAUUUGUCACCCAUCUGAUCAUGGGGCUGAAAUGCUCAGUUGGCGGUGAUGCGGAAAGUGAGGGGGUGACAUGAGGUCAGUCCCCCAAUCUCAGCCAACCUGAGGGGCUUGCUUGA
rnacentral:lncRNA from 1 species